CAUAGCUCAGUUGGUAGAGCAAAGGACUGAAAAUCCUUGUGUCCCCGGUUCGAUUCCUGGUG
rnacentral:tRNA from 1 species